GUGUACACUUUGACAACAUGCGCACUAAACUUGGAAUGACACAGAUCAUAUGAGCAUGGCCCCUGCACAAGGAUGACACGCAGACUCAUGACGUUUUCCACACGUUG